GAGUCCUCAGGAGAGUUCUCCGUUAGGAGUGUUUACAAAUUUUUACAGACAAGUAUUCCUACUCCUAUCCUAGAUGAAUUACAAAAUGCAUCUAGAGAAUUUUACAAGCAACUUUGGGGCUUAAACCUACCCUUUAAAAUCAAGAUUACAAUAUGGCGUAUUUCAAAAAAUUCAUCCCUAUGCUAUCAAAUAUGCAUUACAAAAGACUAGUUGCCAAUAUGAUGUGUCCAAUAUGUUGGAAGGGUGCUGAAACUAUGAAUCAUGUUUUUAGGAGUUGUCCUAUUACAAAGGAGAUAAGGGGGUUAGUUGGUUUUCCUGGGAUCUUAUUAAAUUCAAUACAGGACAUGUCCGAGUAGUUUACUUGGGUUUUCAACAACUGCUCAGUACUUCAACGCGUAUCAUUCUAUUGUGGUCUGUGGGUCUUGUGGACUGUAAGAAACAAAUUUAUGCAUGAACAUUCUGCUCGGAGACGUGGCUAGGGGCUGGCAGGGCUCGGCCCUCUAAAAUGAAAAAUUCUUAUUUAAGUUUUUUAAAAAUUUUAAAAUUUUAAAUUAAUAAAAAUAAUUUUAUAUUUUAACUUUUAAAAUUAUAAAAAUUCGAUUUAAUCCUUUAAAAAUUAUAAAUAUAUAGAUUAUAAAAAAUUAAAUUAAAAUUUCAUUCUUCCCCUUAAAAUUAUUCUGGCUUUGCUCCUGAUUCUGCUAAAUCGGCGGUUGACAUAUCAAGGUUCAUUCAAUGAUACAUGAAAGAAAUAGAAGGCGUCAAGGAAAAGGGGGUUAUCAGGAAGGUGAUCUAUGCAAAAUGGAAGCCCCCUUUGGGAAUAUGCAUCAAACUUAAUUUUGACGCAGCCUUUGAUAAGGAUUUUUUUCAAAUCUGGGACGGGGAUUGUAGCCAGAAAUGCGCAAGGGCAGGUGAUUGCAUCACGUUCAAUACUCCACUCAAACGUGGGCUCAGCAUUUGUAGCAGAAGCCCUCGCAUGUUCAUAGACAGUUAAAACGGGGUUAGAGUUGGGGGUUACAGAGGCAAUUAUCGAAGACGAUUCUCUAACGGUUAUCAAGAAAUGCAACAAUAUGUCCCAAGAUAAGUCUGAAAUACGAGCUCACAUCCAUAAUAUACAGUAUCACAGUAGCAGAUUUCUCUCCAUACAGUUUAAACAUGCAAAUCGUGAAGGUAAUCAACUCGCACACAGAUUAACAGGUUGAAAGUUUGAGAAAUGGAGAGGAGUUUUACCUGGAAGGAGCGGUCCCGGGAUUCGCAAGGAGAACGAUGGAGGACGAGUGGAUUCGUGAACCAGAUUGAAGGAACAAUAGGGAAGUGCUUCGAUCCCUAAGGAGCAGAAAGGAGAAAAAUCAUUUCUGUGAAAAUGCAAAUAUGGAAGGGAUGGGGAAGAGGUAAGUGAUUUUGUUUUGCAAUGAUGACAAUAGAUGGGACGGGUAGGAUUCCCGAGGAAUGGGCUGACUCAUGUUUAUUUUUUAAAUUCUAUUUUAUUUUCUUUUAAUGUUUUAAUUAUUUUGCUUUGGGCGGGUGAGUGCUAAGGCUCCUAGUGGAUUUUGAUGUAUACUUUGGUUUCA
rnacentral:lncRNA from 1 species